rnacentral:snoRNA from 1 species
CCUGUCCCUAGAGGCUUUCUAGGUGUGACGGCUAUGUCACAUGUGUAUCAGUGGGUAGCAGAGAGGAGAGAGGUUCAGUGUUCUGACCUGUGAACACCUGAACGAUACAAC